GAUUUCUGGUUUAACACCUGGCCCGCGGCCAAUAGGCUUGUGAGUGCCGACCAUCCUUCUAGAAAACGAUUCUGCCAUUCACUUGGUUGGGACCGCGAUCUAGAUCUUUUACUUUGAAAAAAUUAGAGUGUUUAAAGCAGGCUUUUGCUAUGAAUACAUUAGCAUGGAAUAAUAAUCUAGGACUUCGGUUAUAACUGAAGUAAUGAUUGAUAGGGAUAGUUGGGGGUGCUCGUAUUGUCAAGACUAACUUAUGCGAAAGCAUU
rnacentral:rRNA from 1 species